rnacentral:rRNA from 1 species
AAAAACAUCGCCUCUUGAACUACAUAAGAGGUCCAGCCUGCCCAGUGACUCUGUUCAACGGCCGCGGUAUCCUAACCGUGCGAAGGUAGCGUAAUCACUUGUUCUUUAAUUGUGGACUAGUAUGAAUGGCACCACGAGGGUUAUACUGUCUCCUUUUUCUAAUCAGUGAAACUAAUCUCUCCGUGAAGAAGCGGGGAUAAAAAUAUAAGACGAGAAGACCCUAUGGAGCUUCAAACAACACAGCAAUUACUACGCAACACAAACUUUUCCGAACCACCUAAUCCUAAUGGUAAUAUGACUGUGAGUUUUUGGUUGGGGUGACCGCGGAGCAUAAUACAACCUCCAUGCUGAAAGAUAAAAUCUCUAAGCUAAGACUUACGUGUCUAAGCAUCAGCACACUGACAUUCAUUGACCCAAUACACUUGAGCAACGAACCAAGUUACCCUAGGGAUAACAGCGCAAUCCACUUCAAGAGCUCCUAUCGACAAGUGGGUUUACGACCUCGAUGUUGGAUCAGGGUGUCCCAGUGGUGCAGCCGCUACUAAAGGUUCGUUUGUUCAACGAUUAAUACCCUACGUGAUCUGAGUUCAGACCGGA